rnacentral:rRNA from 1 species
CAAGCAUAUAGUGGAUGCCUUGGCUUGUUUGGACUAAGAAGGACGCACUAGACCGCGAAAGUCGUCGGGGAGCUGCCAAGAAGCUACGAUCCGACGGUGUCCGAAUGAGGUAACUCACCAUACCGAAAAGUAUGGUACCCCUCCUCUUUGAGGAGUGGGAGAUUACCCGGGGAACUGAAAUAUCUAAGUACCCGGAGGAAAAUAAAUCGCAUGAGAUUCCCUUAGUAAGCGACGAGCGAACAGGGAACAGCCCAAACCGGAAUUUAUUCCGGGGUUGUAGGACCUCAACAUUGGAUCUUUGAAGAUAGCAGAACUCGGUGGAAUACGAGACCACAGAACGUGACAGUCGUGUACGCGAAAUCUGAGAAGACCAUAGAGGAUUCCUGAGUAAGUUAGGAGACGGCAAACUCCUUUCUGAAUCUGGGGUGACCACACUCCAAGGCUAAAUACCAAACAAGACCGAUAGUGAACGAGUACCGUGAGGGAAAGGUGAAAAGAAGGGUGGAAGACCCCGUGAAAUAGUACCUGAAACUAUAUGCUAACAAUCAGACAGAGCCCUUCGGGGUGAUGUCGUGCCUAUUGAAGAAUGAGCCGGCGAGUGAAUGCAAUGUGCAAGCAUAAGAUAUCUUAAUAUUGUAUGCGUAGUGAAAGCGAGCCUGAAUAGGGCGCCUAGUACAUUGUUUUCGACCCGAAACCGGGUGAGCUUACCAUGGCCAGGGUGAAACCUCAGUAACAUGAGGUAGAGGCCCGCACCGGUGUGUGCUGCAAGACGCUCGGAUGAGCUGUGGUAAGAGGUAAUAUGCCAAUCGAACCCGGAGAUAGCUGGUUCUCCCCGAAAUAUAUUUUGGUAUAGGGUCACGUUAAGUUGCGAGGGGGUAGAGCUCUGAUCAGAUGUCUGGGCAGCAAUGUCUAGCAUCCAGUUAAACUUCGAAUACCUCGUUUAUGUUCCGUGGCACUCAGUAUCUGGGGGCUAAGCUCCAGAGGCAAAAGGGAAACAUCCCAGAUCUACGACUAAGGUCUCAAAUAUUUGUUCAGUGGAAAAAGAAGUGUUAUUCCUAAGACACCUAGGAGGUCGGCUCAGAAGCAGCCAUCCUUGAAAGAAAGCGUAACAGCUCACUAGCCGAGGAAUAGCGCGCUGAAAAUGUAACGAGGCUCAAACAAAUAACCGAAGUCUAGAAUUUUAUCCAUAUUUAUAUGGAGGAAGUGGUAGGGGAGCGUUCUGUGUGCUGUGAAGCCAUCCCGUGAGGAGAAUGGUGGAGCGAUCAGAAGUGCGAAUGCCGGCAUGAGUAGCGAAAUGGGAGUGAAAAUCUCCCACCCCGUAUGUCCAAGGUUUCCGCACCCACGUUCGUCGUGUGCGGGUGAGGCGACCCUAAGGUGAGGCCAAUUGGCGUAGCCGAUGGAUUACUGGUUGAUAUUCCAGUCCUUGGUAACAUUCGUUCGACUUGGGGAGGGACGGUGAUGGAUACCGUGUGUGUAGAUGUGAAUUCUGCAUCAAAUCAGUGAGACAGUCUCUAUAGGCAAAUCCGUAGAGGCGUUUAUUCGAGCUGUGAUAGAGCGAGGAGGCUUCGGCCAAAUUGCUACACGCGACUUCAUUGCCCUGGAAAAGCUUCGCAAGGAGAAUGUUAUCAAAUCGUACCGAUAACCGACACAGGUGGACGAGUCGAGUAGACUCAGGGGAGCGAGAGAAGGUAGUUCAAGGAACUCGGCAAAAUAGCUGGGCGUAAUUUCGAAAGAUGCCCUUCCUGAUACGCAAGUAUUGGGACACAGCAAAAGACGUGAGAUUGACUGUUUACCAAAAACACAGGUCCGUGCAAACUCGAAAGAGGCAGUAUACGGGCUGAAACCUGCCCAGUGCCGGAAGGUUAAUUGAGGGGGUGGUAGCGCAAGCUACUGCUUCCAAUCGAAGCCCCGGUGAACGGCAGCAGUAACUAUAACUGUUCUAUGGUAGCGAAAUUCCUUGUCGCUUAAUUGGCGACCUGCACGAAAGGCUCAACAAGUCUCACACUGUCUUGAACUAUUACUCGGCGAAAUUGAAAUGGCUGUGAAGAUGCGGCCUACUGGCGGCAGGACAAAAAGACCCCAUGAAGCUUUACUACAACUUGACACUGUGAUUUUUCUUGGAUUUGUCUAGGAUAGGUGGGAGAGUCCUCAUUUAGUGUGGGCUCGUCGGUGUAAUACCACUCGAUUCAUUUAAAAUCACUCACCCGAUGCCAAUGCAACUUGGCAGGAGACACUGUUUGGUGGGUAGUUUAACUGGGGAGGUUGCUUGCUAAAGAGUAACGCAAGCGCGCAAUGGUACCCUUGGCCCGGAUGGAAAUCGGGCUGGACGUGCAAUAGCAUAAGGGUGCUUCACUGUGAGGCCAACAUGCCGAGCAGAUGCGAAAGCAGGUUAUAGUGAUCCUCGUGCACUUUGUGGAAGGUGCCGGGCUUAACGGAUAAAAGCUACUCUGGGGAUAACAGAGUCAUCGCGCCUAAGCGUCCCUAGCGUCGGCGCGGUUUGCUACCUCGAUGUCGGCUCAUCGCAUCCUGGGGCUGAAGAAGGUCCCAAGGGUUAGUCUGUUCGCCUAUUAAAGCGGUACGCGAGCUGGGUUCAGACCGUCGUGAGACAGGUCGGCCUCUAUCCGCCGUCAGCGUUGGAUUUUUGAGGAAGUUUGCCCUUAGUACGAGAGGACCGGGGUGAGGUAAUCCCUGGUGUUCCUGUUGUCGCUGUCAAGCGCAUUGCAGGGUAGCCACAUUACUAUCGGAUAACCGCUGAAAGCAUCUAAGCGGGAAGCCAAUUCCAAGAUGAGAAAUCCCUAUAGAUUCCUGGGAGACUACCAGGUUGAUAGGCAGGAGAUGUACGGCUGGCAACAGCUUAAGUUUACCUGUACUAAAUAUCAAUUGAACACG